GAACCACCUGAUCCCAUCCCGAACUCAGAAGUGAAACGCAAACGCGCCGAUGGUAGUGUGGGGUCUCCCCAUGUGAGAGUAGGUCAUCGCCAAGC
rnacentral:rRNA from 1 species